CUUGCUUCUCUUGAGAGCGGCGGACGGGUGAGUAAUGCCUAGGAAUCUGCCUGGUAGUGGGGGAUAACGCUCGGAAACGGACGCUAAUACCGCAUACGUCCUACGGGAGAAAGCAGGGGACCUUCGGGCCUUGCGCUAUCAGAUGAGCCUAGGUCGGAUUAGCUAGUUGGUGAGGUAAUGGCUCACCAAGGCGACGAUCCGUAACUGGUCUGAGAGGAUGAUCAGUCACACUGGAACUGAGACACGGUCCAGACUCCUACGGGAGGCAGCAGUGGGGAAUAUUGGACAAUGGGCGAAAGCCUGAUCCAGCCAUGCCGCGUGUGUGAAGAAGGUCUUCGGAUUGUAAAGCACUUUAAGUUGGGAGGAAGGGCAUUAACCUAAUACGUUGGUGUCUUGACGUUACCGACAGAAUAAGCACCGGCUAACUCUGUGCCAGCAGCCGCGGUAAUACAGAGGGUGCAAGCGUUAAUCGGAAUUACUGGGCGUAAAGCGCGCGUAGGUGGUUUGUUAAGUUGGAUGUGAAAUCCCCGGGCUCAACCUGGGAACUGCAUUCAAAACUGA
rnacentral:rRNA from 1 species